rnacentral:rRNA from 1 species
CGACCGGCAAACGGGUGCGGAACACGUACAGACCUUCCCUUUUGAGCCGGAAUACCCAAGAAUUUGGAUUAAUACCCCAUAGUAUAAUGAAGUGGCAUCACUUUAUUAUUAAAGAUUUAUCACUCGAAGAUGGCUGUGCGGUGAUUAGUAGUUGGCGGGGUAAAGGCCCACCAAGCCUGCGAUCAGUAACUGGUGUGAGAGCACGACCAGUCACACGGGCACUGAACACGGGCCCGACUCCUACGGGAGGCAGCAGUAAGGAAUAUUGGUCAAUGGAGGCAACUCUGAACCAGCCAUGCCGCGUGGAGGAUGAAGGUCCUCUGGAUUGUAAACUUCUUUUAUAUGGGACGAAAAAAGGCUUUUCUAAGUCGUCUGACGGUACCAUAUGAAUAAGCACCGGCUAACUCCGUGCCAGCAGCCGGCGGUAAAUACGGAGGGUGCAAGCGUUAUCCGGAUUCACUGGGGUUUAAAGGGGUGCGUAAGUGGGUUGGGUAAGUCCAUGGUGAAAUCCCCGAAGCUUAACUUGGGAACCUGGCAUUGAUACUAUCAGUCUUGAAUACCGUGGAGGUCGGCGGAAUAUCGUCAUUGUACGGUGAAAUC